UACGGGGGGGGCAAGCGUUGUUCGGAAUUACUGGGCGUAAAGGGCGCGUAGGCGGUUUGCUAAGUUGGAUGUGAAAACUCUGGGCUUAACCCAGAGCCUGCAUCCAAAACUGGCAAACUUGAGUACUGGAGGGGAAAGCGGAAUUCCUGGUGUAGCGGUGAAAUGCGUAGAUAUCAGGAGGAACACCGGUGGCGAAGGCGGCCCUCUGGACGGAUACUGACGCUGAGGCGCGAAAGCGUGGGGAUCAAACAGG
rnacentral:rRNA from 1 species